UGCUUCAUGGUCCUCUUGUAGAAUUUUCUUUUAUUUUCUUAAUGAAUCUAGGAGUAGAAUGAAUGUUGAGGCAAAAUAGCAAUUUAGUGUGUUGCAGUCGGUUAUUCAUUAGACAUUAUGUUGUGCAAUACAUUUUUCAAGUUGCUUUAAUGGCUUCUAAUAGAGCGUCCAAAUCUCGUGCUGGCUGUUCCAAUGACUCAAAAAUUAAUGAAGAAAAUGAGAUCCAUGCCGACGAGCCUCAUGCAUAGGAGGAAACUAUUCAUAAGAAUGCUAAAGGUAUCACAUAUAUAUCUACACAUAUACUUGCAUUGACAUGGUUUUAGGGUGGAUGGGUAAUUAUUGGUUAGAUAUAUAGCUUCUUAUUCAUAAGCAAUGAGUUGCAUUGUCAUGGUUUUGGGGUGGUGGGAUCCUUAUUCUCCAAUUUGUGGUUUUGGUUGUGGGACGUAAUUUAAAUCUUUCUUCGUCCACCUUUUCUCAUUCCAAGGUAUGUAAAACUGAGACAUGUUAAAUGGAAUAGGGUUUUUUUUGUUUGCCAUGUUUCUUGAAUGUGUUGUCUAACGUAUUGAAUUGAGUCAAUGUGAAUUGCUCUUUUUUCUCAACCUACUUCAUUAUUAUGGUUGAUUGUGCACAACUUGGAAUAGAUAAUACGACUGUAACACAUGAAAUACAGUACUCCCUCCAAUCCACAAAGUAUAUCCUUAAAAGUUGAUGUUUGAAUUGCAGGUCCUUGAUGUUUACAUAUUUGAGAUCCUAAUAUUUGUCACCAUUUGUAACAAAUGGAUUUGGUUGUUGACUUGAAGGUGUUGUUUGCUAAUGUUACAAUGUUUUUUCUCAGUAUGGUUCCU
rnacentral:lncRNA from 1 species